UCAUCUUUCCACCAGUUCAGACCUCACCUCAGUUUUCCUUCUGGGUCCCUUCCCUGCUCCAAACACCCCCAGCUCCCUGGAGACUCAGCCUGGACCACCGCAGACCAUAGACGGACGGACACCAGGGCCUGCCUUCAGGCAGAAUUGUGCCCAUCUGUGCUUCAGAGCCCUUCCCAGCACAAUGAAGACGUGGCCUGCACCUCACAUGGUGGCUGCCAUGAGGAUGAAGGACGAGGCUUGGGAAGCCAUCUGCACAGCUUCUGUCCACUGCAGUCAUCCAUGUUAGAAGAUGUAAUGAUCCCAUUGACAAAAACAGAGUG
rnacentral:lncRNA from 1 species